rnacentral:misc_RNA from 1 species
UAACCACUCAAGCCUGGCUUGGUAUUGGAGUUCGCUAUCGGCGGCUCCUAAAAUCAGUGGCGGUGCCUGUAGGCUCUACGCGUAGUAAUACUUCUCGCUAUAGGGUCCUGCGGGUGACUUGCCAACAACCCCUAAUUUUUUCA